rnacentral:lncRNA from 1 species
UUCGUCGUACUUUCUGUUCUGCUCUACUUCUCUCGCUGCAGCCUCUGCUUCUCUGGAUGCCGCAUCAGCUUUAAGUUGUCGCUGGAGUUCUUCAUAUUUCUUUUGAACAUCUGCUUCUCUCGCUGACGCAUCUGCUCUAAGUUGUAGCUGGAGUUCUUCAUAUUUCUUUUGAACUUCAACUGUGGUCGCUUGCAUCUGAGCCAUCUGGUCUUUUAACCUCUGAACUUCAGCUUGAGCCUGACUCCCCGAACGCAUGUAUUGCUGCGAGCUGGAUCCAAAAUAUUGGGUUGGGCUAACAAAAGAUCCUUAAAAUCGAAC